GCGGAGGCUGACUUGAUAGUGUAGUUGAGACAGUGGGAACUGAAGUUUGAGGCUGGAGAGCUUGCGGAAUUAUGUUGCGAGUUGCUCUAGUUGCAACCAUCUCAACCUCGAAGUCAGACUUCAAGGUAUUGAGAUCAGCCUUGAGUGCACCAGUGUUCGUCUCCAAGCCACUAAUGUAGAUCUUCAUGUCAAAGCUUCAACGUGAUAGAGACAGACUCAGAGGUACUGGAGUUCUUGAACUGAACACUUCCAUGACCAUGAAUGUUACCCUUGUGUGUAUGCCCACGCUGAAAAAGCAAAGAAUCAAACGAGCAUAAGCAGUGUGAAGUCAGUCAAGUGAAACACUAAAUAAAACUACAAUGCUCAAUGAUGUGAACAAGCUAUAACCCUACAUCUUUGAAGCAUCUACUCGAUCAUAUCCUGCAUAAGUUCAAAGAGUUAACAAGUUCACAAUCAGAAACCAAAUUUUAUCCUAAUCAGAAACGAAAUCUUAUCCUAUCACAUGUUCACAAAUUCAAUACUUAGCAAUCUACCAAUCUGAUAAGCAAGUGAGAAGAGAUUGUUGAGGUAUUCUUGGUUGAGUACCAGGCGCCCUGAAUGUGGUGUUGCAGCCGUUGAUCCAGUCUGGCGGUUGGCAAGUGGAUAUCUACCAUGUGUCAGCUCUUCAACGGCUUGCUCAACCUCCUCAACCAGGGCCUCUGCACGUUCGUCGAUGAAGGAACCAUGUUUACGUGUGUAAGUCUUCCUCACAAGAUCAGUAUAUGCAGUUGAUUACUCCAAAAACUCAUCAACCAU
rnacentral:lncRNA from 1 species